UACGGCGGGUGCAAACGUUGCUCGGAAUCAUUGGGCGUAAAGCGCACGUAGGCGGCCUGAUAAGUCGGGUGUGAAAGCCCUGGGCUCAACCCAGGAAGUGCACUCGAAACUGUCAGGCUUGAAUAUGGAAGAGGGUCGCGGAAUUCCCGGUGUAGAGGUGAAAUUCGUAGAUAUCGGGAGGAACACCAGUGGCGAAGGCGGCGACCUGGGCCAAUAUUGACGCUGAGGUGCGAAAGCGUGGGGAGCAAACAGG
rnacentral:rRNA from 1 species